rnacentral:rRNA from 1 species
AGUGAACGCUGGCGGUAGGCCUAACACAUGCAAGUCGAACGGCAGCACAGUAAGAGCUUGCUCUUACGGGUGGCGAGUGGCGGACGGGUGAGGAAUACAUCGGAAUCUACUUUUUCGUGGGGGAUAACGUAGGGAAACUUACGCUAAUACCGCAUACGACCUACGGGUGAAAGCAGGGGAUCUUCGGACCUUGCGCGAUUGAAUGAGCCGAUGUCGGAUUAGCUAGUUGGCGGGGUAAAGGCCCACCAAGGCGACGAUCCGUAGCUGGUCUGAGAGGAUGGUCAGCCACACUGGAACUGAGCCGCGGUCCAGACUCCUACGGGAGGCAGCAGUGGGGAAUAUUGGACAAUGGGCGCAAGCCUGAUCCAGCCAUGCCGCGUGGGUGAAGAAGGCCUUCGGGUUGUAAAGCCCUUUUGUUGGGAAAGAAAAGCAGCAGGUUAAUACCCCGCUGUUCGGACGGGACCCAAAGAAUAAGCACCGGCUAAUUUCGU